UACGAAGGGGGCUAGCGUUGCUCGGAAUUACUGGGCGUAAAGCGCACGUAGGCGGCUCUUUAAGUCGGGGGUGAAAUCCUGGAGCUCAACUCCAGAACUGCCUUCGAUACUGAAGAGCUCGAGUCCGGGAGGGGUGAGUGGAACUGCGAGUGUAGAGGUGAAAUUCGUAGAUAUUCGCAAGAACACCAGUGGCGAAGGCGGCUCACUGGCCCGGUACUGACGCUGAGGUGCGAAAGCGUGGGGAGCAAACAGG
rnacentral:rRNA from 1 species